rnacentral:rRNA from 1 species
AUUGAACGCUGGCGGCAUGCCUUACACAUGCAAGUCGAACAGUAACAGGUCUUCGGAUGCUGACGAGUGGCGAACAGGUGAGCAAUACAUCGGAACGUGCCUAGUAGUGGGGGAUAACUACUCGAAAGAGUGGCUAAUACCGCAUGAGAUCUACGGAUGAAAGCAGGGGAUCGCAAGACCUUGUGCUACUAGAGCGGCCGAUGGCAGAUUAGGUAGUUGGUGGGAUAAAAGCUUACCAAGCCGACGAUCUGUAGCUGGUCUGAGAGGGCGAUCAGCCACACUGGGACUGAGACACGGCCCAGACUCCUAUGGGAGGCAGCAGUGGGGAAUUUUGGACAAUGGGCGAAAGCCUGAUCCAGCAAUGCCGCGUGCAGGAUGAAGGCCUUCGGGUUGUAAACUGCUUUUGUACGGAACGAAAAGCUCUGGGUUAAUACCCUGGGGUCAUGACGGUACCGUAAGAAUAAGCACCGGCUAACUACGUGCCAGCAGCCGCGGUAACAC